GUGGGGAAUAUUGCACAAUGGGCGAAAGCCUGAUGCAGCGACGCCGCGUGGAGGAUGAAGGUCUUCGGAUUGUAAACUCCUGUUGAGUGGGAAGAAAGACUGUUGGUUAAUACCCAAUGGGGAUGACGGUACCACUAGAGAAAGCACCGGCUAACUUCGUGCCAGCAGCCGCGGUAAUACGAAGGGUGCAAGCGUUAUUCGGAGUUACUGGGCGUAAAGAGCGUGUAGGCGGUCUUAAAAGUCUGUUGUUAAAUCACCCGGCUCAACCGGGUAUCGGCAAUAGAAACUCUAAGGCUAGAGUGUAAGAGAGAGAAGUAGAAUUCUCGGAGUAGCGGUAAAAUGCGUAGAUCUCGAGAGGAAUACCGAUGGCGAAGGCAGCUUCUUGGCUUACUACUGACGCUAAAGCGCGAAAGCGUGGGGAGCAAACAGGAUUAGAAACCCUAGUAGUCC
rnacentral:rRNA from 1 species